rnacentral:rRNA from 1 species
ACGGAGGUUGCAAGCGUUGUUCGGAAUAACUGGGCGUAAAGGGAGCGCGGGCGGUUCGACCAGUCCAAAGUGAAAGCCCGGGGCUUAACCUCGGAAGUGCUUUGGAUACUAUCGAACUCGAGUUCGUGAGAGGAAAGCGGAAUUCCAGGUGUAGCGGUGAAAUGCGUAGAUAUCUGGAGGAACACCGGUGGCGAAAGCGGCUUUCUGGCACGAUACUGACGCUGAGGCUCGUAAGCAUGGGGAGCGAACA